UACGUAGGUGGCAAGCGUUGUCCGGAUUUACUGGGCGUAAAGCGCACGUAGGCGGCGACUCAAGUCAGAGGUGAAAGCCCGGGGCUCAACCCCGGAACUGCCUUUGAUACUGCAAAUCUCGAGUCCGAUAGAGGUGGGUGGAAUUCCUAGUGUAGAGGUGAAAUUCGUAGAUAUCCGGAGGAACACCGGAGGCGAAGGCGGCGAUCUGGAAGACCACUGACACUGAGCAGCGAAAGCGUGGGGAGCAAACACGG
rnacentral:rRNA from 1 species